rnacentral:rRNA from 1 species
ACCCUACGGGGGGCAGCAGUUAGGAAUAUUCGUCAAUGGGGGAAACCCUGAACGAGCAAUGCCGCGUGAGUGAUGAAGGCCCUAUGGGUUGUAAAACUCUGUUGUUGAGAAAGAAUUGUAAGAUUAGGAAAUGAGUCUUACUUGACGGUACGCUUCAAGAAAGCCACGGCUAACUACGUGCCAGCAGCCGCGGUAAUACGUAGGUGGCGAGCGUUAUCCGGAUUUAUUGGGCGUAAAGCGUGCGCAGGCGGUUUAUUAAGUCUGAUGUGAAAGCCCACGGCUUAACCGUGGAGGGUCAUUGGAAC